rnacentral:rRNA from 1 species
UACGUAGGUGGCGAGCGUUAUCCGGAAUGAUUGGGUUUAAAGGGUGCGUAGGCGGACUGUCAAGUCAGCGGUAAAAUACGGGGGCUCAACCCCGUCCGGCCGUUGAAACUGGGGGCCUUGAGUGGGCGAGAAGAAGGCGGAAUGCGUGGUGUAGCGGUGAAAUGCAUAGAUAUCACGCAGAACCCCGAUUGCGAAGGCAGCCUUCCGGCGCCCUACUGACGCUGAGGCACGAAAGUGCGGGGAUCGAACAGG